UCCAGCUAGUAGAAAAGCCGAUUGCGUGGGUGCCUUCUCAAUGUGACCUGGCUUCUGGCCUGACCUCACAGACCCUCAAACUUUUGGCAUCAUUGUUAUAAUGGUGAAAGUUUGGUCACAUUCUGGAUUGCUUUAAGUAGCUCCAAACUAAUCCCUCCCAUAUUUUUCCACAGAGAAGCAACCUUAAUGUAAAGCAGACCUGGUCCUGAGGUAGAAGAAUUCUUUAUUGCAGCCUGCAGUGCACGUGGACUGAUACAUAUAUUUUUAGUGGGGGAUACGAAGAGGAAGGUAUCAGGGACCUAUUACAACUUUUUUCCUCCCCUUUGUCUUGCUUCAUUCUUGAGCACACCAAUGCAGAUGGAUGCCAUUAGAAUGAUGUUAACCUAGAAUAUGCACAGCUUGCCUGCAAGACUGGGACUAAUACUAACUAUUUAUAUUGUGCUUUUCAUCUUCAAAAUGAUCUACAAAUAUGAAUUCUCUCAACAUCUCUCUGAAAUAGCAUAGGUGGAGUUUACACUGAAGGGCUGCAGCAGUGCAGUUGUUCCAUUGUAGUGUUUUCAGCAUGGACAUACCCUUUAGAGAAAAUAGGAAAUCAAAACCUUAUUGUGUGCUUAAGUAACUGGAAAAACCUGUUUUGGAAAGCAGAUCUGCAACACUUAAUAAGAUGGUUGAGUGAGAGAAGAAGUAACUCAUCUUUCUCUGGACCAGCAGCAGGAGGAGAUUCUCUAACAAAACAAUAUCAGAACAAGAGCAUGUUUUUUAGACAUGAAGUUCACGCUUUACUCUGUAAUGAAGAUGAAAAUAUCUUAUGUACUUUAUUUUAUGGGAGAUGUUAAGCAAAACAUUUCUCCUUGCCUUUAUUCAAUCUUGUUUUUGUUAGGAUUACUGUUGUAUAGAUAAAUUGGGUAUAGAUAUCCCCAAAUACAAGCGAACUUAAACAAUUUCUGGAACAUAAACUCUCCUUUGUUUUGGUCAAGAAGCCCAUCUUGACAUAUUCAAGUUUGGUAGGGGCACAGGAUCAGUUAUAUUGGUUUUAUCCCAGUUGAGGGUCCUCUGCUUACCCACCACUGGAAUUUCCACUUGGCCAACCACCUCCAGAUUCUCCCUCUUCUAUGCUGUGUGGGACAGAGAAACUGGCCUCCAACAAUCAAUUUGGAGAAAAGGAAAGUUUCAGAUUUUGUUUUGCUUUUGUUUUUUUCUUUUAAUUAUUCACAAUUGUAGAUGAAGUCAUGGAAAUGAUGGGCAGAGAAGUUCAUAAAAAAAUUGCAUGGGAAAUUACAGCUGGAAAAGGUUAUUACAUUUCUAUGGCUUGCACGUCCUCAGCGAUCAACAUCAACUAUCCUAUUUUACUUUACAAUCGUAUAAGUAAGUGCAUCUGGACCAAUUAAUCAGUUAUUGUUAUUUAGUAAUUUAAAAAAUGCAAAAGCCUAAUGGAGCUGGAAAACAUUGUUAUUUUCUUGGAAGACUUAAGAAUAAACAUCUCUGAUUGAAGAGGGCAAAGAUGCUCUAACAUUCUAACCAGAGCCAUACAACUACCUAAGGACUGAAUGACAAAACCACUUGUGUGUUCACUGCAAAACCAACAGGUGUUUCAGCCAAUUUCUGUUCUAUUCUUCAGUUUUGUCAAGCAGUUGUACUACUUUAAAAUCUAAGAUGUGAUGACAAUCUGUGCAAGCAUUUAGAAAUGAGAUAAAAGUCAGGAAACUAUUUGGACUGGUCUUCCCAAGGCACCUUUGAAGCUCCUUAUAUGAAUCUACUCAAAGAGUUUUUCCCAAAUCAUUCUCAGAUGGUCAAGUGUGCAACCACCAAAAAUGAUCUGUAAUUUCACUCUGAAGCCCCAUUGUUCUACAACCUUCUAUGUGAAUUCUGGGAAAGCACAAAAGGAAAGUGCUCAUAAUACUAGGUUCGGUGCAGCACCACCAAUUUAUACAAGCGGAAGAUUCUGGAUUUCUGUUAGUUUUUAAAAACGCAUUGAACAUUUGCUUGAAAGACCUUUUUUAUAACCUAACGUGAUAGACAUGGUGAUUUAUGUUUGUAGUUAAUUGCCUUACCUUACCCAUCAUUUCUGAUUCUCACAUCACUGAGGCCUUUGGAGAGUAAGGUACAAGGGUAAGAACACUAGUUUAAGAUUUGACAGACCUAGGCUCAAGUGUCUGUUCUGCUAGACUUUCUGUGUGACAUUGUGCAAGUCACUUAGCCUCUGUGCCUCAGUUCCCAGUAAAAUUGAGUGAUUAGCAUUUUCCUAACUCAGAGAGAUAUUGCAAGGAUAAGUACAUUAAAGAUGGCAAAGAGCUCAUAUACUACUAUGAUAAUAGAUAAUAGGGACCCUAUAGUUCUUAAGUUAGUGUAUGUCUACACACUAGCACAUACCUUGAAGAUGGCAAAGAGCUCAUAUACUACUGUUAUAACAGGUAAUAGGGACCCUAUAGUUCCUAAGUUAGUGUAUGUCUACACACUAGCACAGUGAUCUCCAACCUUUUUACACCCAAGAUCACUUUUUAAGUCUCAGA